rnacentral:rRNA from 1 species
UACGUAGGGGGCGAGCGUUGUCCGGAUUUAUUGGGCGUAAAGAGCGUGUAGGCGGCCAGGUAGGUCCGUUGUGAAAACUCGAGGCUUAACCUCGAGACGUCGACCGAAACCACCUGGCUAGAGUCCGGAAGAGGAGAGUGGAAUUCCUGGUGUAGCGGUGAAAUGCGCAGAUAUCAGGAAGAACACCCGUGGCGAAGGCGGCUCUCUGGGACGGUACUGACGCUGAGACGCGAAAGCGUGGGGAGCGAACAGG